rnacentral:rRNA from 1 species
GACGAACGCUGGCGGCGUGCUUAACACAUGCAAGUCGAGCGGUAAGGCCCUUUCGGGGGUACGACGAGCGGCGAACGGGUGAGUAACACGUGGGUGACCUGCCCUCAGCUCUGGGAUAAGCCUGGGAAACCGGGUCUAAUACUGGAUAUGACUCCAUGACGCAUGUUGUGGGGUGGAAAGCCUUGUGCGGCUGAGGAUGGGCCCGCGGCCUAUCAGCUUGUUGGUGGGGUGAGGCCUACCAAGGCGACGACGGGUAGCCGGCCUGAGAGGGCGACCGGCCACACUGGGACUGAGACACGGCCCACGACUCCUACGGGAGGCAGCAGUGGGGAAGUCUUGCGCAAUGGGCGAAAGCCUGACGCAGCGACGCCGCGUGAGGGA